AUCCCUUCUGGGCCUUUGGACUAGGAUCAAGUGUAAGAACUAGAAUAUGUUCCUAUCAGUGUAGUAUCUGACACAACCUGUAUCCAAUGUGAUUGCACUGAAUACAUAUUUUUCUGUUUUUCACUAUGUUUAAUUGGCCUAUGGAAGACAAAUGGCCCAGCAUCAGUUGUUGGGGCUGCCAGGGCCCAGGUUCU